AGUGAACGCUGGCGGCAGGCCUAACACAUGCAAGUCGAACGGCAGCACAGUAAGAGCUUGCUCUUACGGGUGGCGAGUGGCGGACGGGUGAGGAAUACAUCGGAAUCUACUUUUUCGUGGGGGAUAACGUAGGGAAACUUACGCUAAUACCGCAUAUGACCUACGGGUGAAAGCAGGGGAUCUUCGGACCUUGCGCGAUUGAAUGAGCCGAUGUCGGAUUAGCUAGUUGGCGGGGUAAAGGCCCACCAAGGCGACGAUCCGUAGCUGGUCUGAGAGGAUGAUCAGCCACACUGGAACUGAGACACGGUCCAGACUCCUACGGGAGGCAGCAGUGGGGAAUAUUGGACAAUGGGCGCAAGCCUGAUCCAGCCAUACCGCGUGGGUGAAGAAGGCCUUCGGGUUGUAAAGCCCUUUUGUUGGGAAAGAAAAGCAGCAGGUUAAUACCCCGCUGUUCUGACGGUACCCAAAGAAUAAGCACCGGCUAACUUCGUG
rnacentral:rRNA from 1 species